GACUUGACAUCUCCUGAAUUACUCUUAAUCGAGGAAGUCCCUUCGGGGACAGGAAGACAGGUGGUGCAUGGUUGUCGUCAGCUCGUGUCGUGAGAUGUUGGGUUAAGUCCCGCAACGAGCGCAACCCUUAUUGUUAGUUGCUACUAUUAAGUUAAGCACUCUAACGAGACUGCCGCGGUUAACGUGGAGGAAGGUGGGGAUGACGUCAAAUCAUCAUGCCCCUUAUGUCUAGGGCUACACACGUGCUACAAUGGCUGGUACAACGAGCAGCAAACCCGCGAGGGGGAGCAAAACUUGAAAGCCAGUCCCAGUUCGGAUUGUAGGCUGAAACUCGCCUACAUGAAGUUGGAGUUGCUAGUAAUCGCGAAUCAGCAUGUCGCGGUGAAUACGUUCCCGGGUCUUGUACACACCGCCCGUCACACCAUGAGAGCCGGUAACACCCGAAGCCCGUGAGGUAACCGUAAGGAGCCAGCGGUCGAAGGUGGGAUUGGUGAGUGGGGUGAAGUCGUAACAAGGUAGCCGUAGGAGAACCUGCGGCUGGAUCACCUCCUUUCUAGGGA
rnacentral:rRNA from 1 species